GCCGGCUUGUACCCUGCCUUCCCUCUGGACCUACAGGCAGGAUCGUGGCUUUGCUCUUGAACUCUAACAGGCAGCCCACUGUGGGCAGGUGACUGACUGCUGUAGCCCAGGGUGUCUCAGUAAUCCAGGUGCCUUUUGAUUAGUGACUCAGAUGUCACUUUGCACAGCCUUGGAAUCCCUUCUCAAUCUUCUGUAGCCAGCCACUGUAUGAUCCAGGGGAAAGAACAUAGAGAAUGAUGAGAUAUUUGAGGCAGCAGGUCUGGAACUGGAUCGUGGAAGCCCAUACUUCACUUUUCAGAACGAGUCCAAUGCUCACAUUCAAAGAAUCUUGAAAAUACAGGUUGACCAUGUGCCCAGGAGGAGGAGUGGAGUCUGGUGAACAUCUAGUCGCUUCUGCCUUGCUGUGAGUAGAUACUGGAAGGAGUGGAAGGGUGGAAACACUCCAAUGAUACUUUCUUUACUUAAUCCAGAAUGCUGUAGAAAAUUUCUCCAUCAUUGAAAACUGCAACUCUUCAGGGAUGUGAUGAGCAAGCCCCAAGCACGUUUAAAGCUGGCCUCACUCAUUUUCUGCCUGGUUUUGUGCCAGACCCAGUAGGCGAGGUAGAGAAUGGCAACCGGAUACUGAUGUCAGCAACAGGGCGAGGCCAUGAGUCCUAAUGCGGCCACUUGUUAGAACUGAGACCCCUGGUUUCCUUGUCCUGCCACUCCCUGGGCUGACCCACGGCAAUAAUCACGUUGCCAUUCCUGUGCGUGAGUGGAUCUUUGAGAUCUCCAGCCCUUCCUGAAAAAGACAUGCAGAGCAGUGGAGAGGCCAGAACUAGGGGUGUGCGAUGGAAGACAAAGCGCCUCUCACCAGUCCGCAGGAGAGGGAUUGCUGUGACUGGGCUGUAGGACUGAUCAGUUGAGCUCCACCAGCCUCAGUGAGUUACUUCCCAUCAUUUGUCUACCCAUCUACACUGCAUGCUACCUAGGAGUCCACUAGCCCCUGAUCUGAAGUCAUUCUGUAAUGGUUAUAGGCUGCUUGGCGUUGAGAAAGCCCCUGAAGCAAUUUAAGCUUCCACAUUCUCAUUUGCAAAAUCACUUUGGACUUUGAGCUCUCCUGCCUCUGCAGAGAAAUCCUGAAAAGACCAUGGUGGACGGGAGAGCAGCUAAGCGUUUCACCUUGGUCUUUGCUGAGAAAGACACUGGCCCCCUGACAUUCCCAGAAAGGCUUGGGAUCAAACUGGUCAAGGGAUGAAACAGCCAGGUCUGCACUGGCAUGCGUGGCACAGCUAAGUCAGUGACACGGUGCCACUCUCUGCGUCAGUCUUUCUCGGACCACGUGGGUGAGAAUGCUGGUUGCACAGUUCAGGAGAGGAGUCCUUCACUCCGCAGGGGUAUCUGAAGGAGUACCAGGAACCUGACUGCUGGUGGGUUUCCUCCUAGGAUCAGGGUUCCAGAGGGGAGUGCAGAUGUGGUAGACGAGUGAGUCACCUCUCUGCCAUGAAAGUGAAAGGACGCUGCUAAAGGACCGGCUCGCAAGCACUCCAAGGAGAAGACACUACCAGGGGAAAAGAGAAGUAACAGCUCCAGCAAGAUGGUGCAGUGGCACUGGUCGCUUUCUGGUCCUUCUCCUUCUUCUUCUUCUUUUUUUAAAUAUUUAUUUAUUUACUUGAAAGGUAGAGCUACAAACACAGAGAGAGAGGUCUUCCAUCUGCUAGUACAGGCCCCAGAUGGUCUCAAUGGCCAGAGCUGUGCCAAUCCAAAGCCAGGAUCCAGAAGCUUCCUCCAGGUCUCCACGUGGGUGCAGGGGCGCAAGCACUUGAGCCAUCUUCCACUGCUUUCCCAGGCCAUAGCAGAGAGCUGGAUUGGAAGUGGAGCAGCCAGGACUAGAACCGGUGCCCAUAUAGGAUGCUGGUGCUGAAGUGGGAGGAUUAAUCUACUGCGCCACAGUGCCAGCACCCCCUCCCCUCUUCUGAUUUUGCUGGAAAACUCCCUCUUCUUGAGUGCUGUUCUCUAUGGUCCUGGAGGUGUUGGCUGCAUCCACUAAUCCCACUCCAGGGCUAAUUAUCCUGGUCAUAGGAUUGGUUUAGAGAAGGCCAGAGACAUUUGAUCAAAGUAAGUGUCUCCACUGUUGUUAUUCAGGGGUGGGUGCUUGAGAAAGGGACGCCGGCUAAGAGAAUAGAGAAACUGUCCAGAGGACCUGUUGAAAAUCCUGGAUCCUGCCACUCCUGUACCCUGUAUGCCAAUAGAUGUUUUAUUUCCUUUCUUAUCAAAGAUAGUUUAAGGAAGCAGGGGCAGGUCUGUCUCUUGUCACUGAAAGGGCUCUAACAGAAGAAGAUACAACACUAUCUAUACUAUUUGAAUAGGGAUAAGGAUAACUGUAAUUCUAUUGGUGAUAUCUCCUCUCUAGUUCCCGCCAGAUACUUCACAAAUACUGGCUCCUGUUCUUCUACCAAUUCAUCAGAGAUAUGGUCAUCACUGCUGCGCCAUGCUGUUGAAAUCGUAUAGAGGCAGUCACGAAGGGUCCAUUAUGUUGAUUGACCUGAUCAAGGCCAAGUUGAUUGUAACUAGUGAAUCAGGGAUUCAAGUUCAGUUCUGCUUAAGCAAUCGAUGCGGGUGCAUCACUGUGUCAAAAGGUCACUCCUGGAGAGAAUGGCUGAAUAAACAUGGGAGCACAGGGGACAAGCCGAGAAUGUCCUCUGUUUAGCUCCCAAACUGCUGAAAGGAUUCCCUAAUUCAGACACGAAUGUCUAGGAGGGUGCUAUUUUUAUACCAAAGGAAAAAAAAAAGAA